rnacentral:rRNA from 1 species
UACGAAGGGGGCUAGCGUUGUUCGGAUUUACUGGGCGUAAAGCGCACGUAGGCGGCUUGUUAAGUCAGGGGUGAAAUCCCGGAGCUCAACUCCGGAACUGCCUUUGAUACUGGCAAUCUUGAGACUGGAAGAGGUUAGUGGAAUUCCCAGUGUAGAGGUGAAAUUCGUAGAUAUUGGGAAGAACACCAGUGGCGAAGGCGGCUAACUGGUCCAGUACUGACGCUGAGGUGCGAAAGCGUGGGGAGCAAACAGG